rnacentral:lncRNA from 1 species
CUCCUGCUUCUGACUGAGGAGCUUGAAAAAGCAGAGAGAAACCAUGUGAUCCUUCAAGAGGAAGACUGUGGUCAGAGAUCCUCAAAGGAGGAGGAGGAAGAGCUGCUCAGAGUGACGGCGCUCACAGAGGAGAGAGAUCAGCUGCAGCAGGAGCUCAGAGAGGAAAAGCAGCUGAAAGGAGAGUUGGAAGGAAGGGUGGAAAUGCUGCUGGCAGAGAACAUGAAUUUGCAGACUGUUGGAGAGCAGAGGAAGCAGCUGGAGGAAGAUCUGCAGCACAGCAUGGAUUUGGUGAGCAGAAAGUCACUGAUUCACGUAUUUUUUAGUUUCUGUUUUUGAUGAAAAGCUGAGUUUGGGUUUUUCUUCGAAGGCAUCUUCAAGAGAAGCUCUCCUGAAGUCUGUCCAGGAGGAGCUGAAGGAACAGAAGAACCUCCACUGUGAUCUGGAGAAACUUCUUCAGGAGAAGGAGAGCUCCUUCAGCCACAAGAUGCUGGACUUGUCAGGACAACUGGAGAGCGCUGAAGCCGAGAGGAGGUCCCUGCUGGGUGAGAGUCAGAAGCUCACAGAGGAGAAGGAGGAGCUGCUGCGCAGAGUGACGUCUCUGAAGGAGGACAAGGAGCUGCUGGGAGCUCAGCUGGACGAGGAGAAGGAGAAGAUGUGGGACCUGCAGCAGAAGCUGAGCCGGCAGGAGCAGCUGGAGGCGCAGCGGAUCUUAGAGCGAGAGCAGGAGAGCCAGCAGUACCGAGAGCUGCUGAUUGAAACGAACAGAAACAUCUCCGCCCUCAAAGAGCAGCUGUUCGUUCUGGAGCAGAAGAGCAGAGAAAAGGAGGAGGAGAAGCAGGAGGGGGCGCCAUCUCGUCUGCAGGAGUCCAGACUUCUCCUUCAGGUGAGGCUGGAUCCGGUCGAGUCAUUGAUGGAAGGACCUUCAUAACCUGAAGUCUGAGUGCAGCAGCUGGAUGGGAUUUGUGGUUUUGCUGCAGGAGACUUUUGGGAAACUGGAGGAGUUCAUUAACACCUGCAGGGGGCGCUUCUCUGUCCCUCUGGACCCGGCUCUGAGGAGUGGGUGUUCCCUCAUCCACCCGUACAUCAGCUCUCUUCCAGAGGCCAGUGUGGCUGUGUACAUGUCCAUGCAGCAGGAGGGGCUGCAGAGCGUUCAGAGGCUGCAGAGCGUUCAGGUACGGACCUCCUCUCAGACGCUCCGGCUGAAGUCGAACAGACAGAAA